rnacentral:rRNA from 1 species
GUGAGGAAUCUUCCACAAUGGGCGAAAGCCUGAUGGAGCAACGCUGCGUGAAGGAUGAAGGUCUUCGGAUUGUAAACUUCUUUUAUGAGUGAAGAAUAUGACGGUAACUCAUGAAUAAGCACCGGCUAACUACGUGCCAGCAGCCGCGGUCAUACGUAGGGUGCAAGCAUUAUCCGGAGUGACUGGGCGUAAAGAGUUGCGUAGGCGGUUAUGUAAGCGAAUAGUGAAACCUGGUGGCUCAACCACACAGACUAUUAUUCGAACUGCAUAACUCGAGAAUGGUAGAGGUAACUGGAAUUUCUUGUGUAGGAGUGAAAUCCGUAGAUAUAAGAAGGAACACCAAUGGCGUAGGCAGGUUACUGGGCCAUUUCUGACGCUAAGGCACGAAAGCGUGGGGAGCGAACCGGAUUAGAAACCCUGGUAGUCC